GAGAGUCUGUUCAUUUCCUGUUGCUGACUUUCUGGUGGGGAAGAUGAAUAUGAUCAGGAGUGGUACAAUUCUGUAGUGGUCCUUGUAUAAAUCAGCCCACACAGCCAUUGUUUACAAUAGAAUUCGCUACCAGCAUUAUCUUUGGUGUAAGAUCUGGAGUACCAAUGGAUCUGAGGAAUAGAACCAAGGAGUCUUGAUCCCAACUUAUUGUUGCUGUCUGCCAGG